rnacentral:lncRNA from 1 species
GAACGUGUGUUCUCAUGCUGACCGUGAAACUGAAGUCAUACACCUGGGCAGCUGCUGGGCCCACAUGUGCUAGGUUCUGCGGGGUCUGGUCAGAUCUGGGAGGCCUAGCUUGGAGGCGGCUUUCCUAGGCCACCCCAGGCAAAGAAGAGCUGCUUCAGGGUCCCCAACCUGCGCCACCCGCUCAGGGCUCCCCCCACCAGGUGAGCUGGACCCUGGGGGUCUCCACAGACACCUCAGCUAGUCCUGACCUGCUGGCCAGACGCCCACCAGCCCUGCCUUCCAGAGGGCCCCGCUACAUCGUCUUCAUACCCCAGGGCCUCCCAGCCGCCCCACCUGCAGGGCUGCUAGAACUUUCUCCCGAGACAAAGCCUGCCAUUGUGCCUCCCUGGAGCCCGUCUCUGCAGUGGGGGGCAGGGUGUGUUGAGCGUCCCGGGUCCAGUGUCUCCGGCGUGUCCUGCAUCUCGGCAGCCAGCUCCUCUGCAGCUCAGGCCCCGUGAGUCACAGCCGCUUCCUCAAAUGCUUUGGCUGACCGCAUCCCCCCGCUCCGCCAGAACCCUGGAUGCCGGAGCCCUCCCAGCGAGAGCCGUGUUUAUUUUACUUUACAUACAUUUUCCAACCCGGAGCGGCUUCAACACAUGCAGCUCUUAGGCCCGGGCCGCACAUCUCAGAAGCCCCGUGUGCGACUUUGACUGCCGCACGAUCCUCUGCCGGGGGAGGUGGGCCCGCUGCGCUUUGGGAGCACCCGCGCCCGACACUGAGGUCUCGGUGCUGUCUUCGGCCUCUUCGCCCCUGAGGGUCCCCUCUGGGAGCAGAGGCGGUCGGAAAACCCUGGGGCUGAAGUGCAGGCUUCGGGAGGACGCGACCUGCCAAGAUCAGCUCCCGGCACGUGAUGGGAGCCUGGCUCACCUUCCCCCAGCACACGAUGGGGCUGCAGCCUCCCCGGUCAGCCUGGCCUGCUGGAAAGGAGCAGCUCUGUCUCCAGAGGCUUCUGGCGAAGCCCAUGGCCUCCCAAUGUUGGCUGAUUUAUAAGGAAAGAGGGGAAAGGCCAAGUGUGGAUGCCAUUAGCAUAACCUAAUCCAGACCCCAUGACAAGUCCAGGAUCCUGCAGGGAGAGGGCAUCCUUGAACGUGAAGGACUGGGUUUGGAAACUUGGCCUCCCGGAAGAAAGGUCUCCGGGCCCACCCACACCCCCCUUGUGGACGCCCCCGCAGUCUAAUACACUCCACAGUAAGACGGACCAGGAACAGCAGCAGCCUCCGGUGUCGGCCCAGUGAUCCGGGAGCUCAGAGUGUAGGUACCUGACGGCUUGACUCGUCCCCAGGACAAGGCCUGUGAGUGGGAGAGGGGCACUCUGAGUGUGCGAAUCUGUGAGAGUGUGUGUGUGUCUGGGCACGAGUGUGUAUGCGUGUGUGUGCAUGUAUAUUCACAUGUGUGAGGGUGUGAAUGUGUGUGUCUGUGGGUCUGGGCACAUGAGUGUGUGUGUGCAUAUACUACAUUCACGUGUGAGUGUGCAAAUGCGAGUGUGUCUGUAGGUCUGGGCACGUGUAUGCGUGUGUGUGCGAGUACUAUAUUCGCAUGUGUGAGUGUGCGAAUGUGUGUGUCUGUGGGUCUGGGCACACGAGUGUGUAUGCGUGUGUGUGCAUGUACUAUAUUCACGUGUGUGAGUGUGCGAAUGUGUCUGUGGGUCUGGGCACAUGAGUGUGUGCAUAUACUAUAUUCACGUGUGUGAGUGUGCAAAUGUGUGUCUGUAGGUCUGGGCACAUGUGUAUGCGUGUGUGUGCGAGUACUAUAUUCACGUGUGUGUGAGUGCGAAUGUGAGUGGGUGUGGGUCUGGUCACAUGUAUGUAUGCAUGUGUGCAUGUAUUAUAGUCAUGUGAGUGUGCAAAUGUGUGUGUGGGUCUGGGCACACAAGUGUGUAUGCAUGUGUUUCUAUUGUAUUCAUGUGAGUAUAAGUGCAAAUGUGUGAGUGUGUGUUCUCUGCACACACAAGUGUAUAGGUAUGUGUUUGUGUGUGCAUGCACUGUAUUCAUGUGAGUGUAUGUGAAUGUGUGACUGUGAGAGUUUGAGUGUGCCUGGGUGUCUGGCUAUACUAGUGCAUGUCUGUGUUCGUGUGCAUCAGUCUGGGUGUGCCCGUGUGUGAAUGUGUCUAUGCGUGGGUGUCCCAAUAUGUGUGUGCCUGUGUAUCCAUGUCUAGGUGUGCCCGUGGGUGUGAGUGUGUCUGUGCGUGGGUGUCUGGAUACGUGUGUGCCUGUAUGAGUGUGUAUCCAUGUCUGGGUGUGCCCACGGGUGUGAGUGUGAAUAUGUAAGUCUUGCGUGUGCAUGAGUGUGUUCACAUGAGUGUGAGGGUCUGUGCAUAAGAGCCUAUUGUGAGUGCAUGUGGAUUGCAUUUAUGUGAGUCCGUGUCUGUGUGCACGCACGUGUCCCCGCACAAGCCAGCCCGAGAGGGAGUGUCCCCUGAACACACCCUGGCAGCACUUGCAGCGUGAUGAGGUUGAGGGAAUGUGUCGCUGAGGUCGUAAAUGCCUCUCGCACGUCCCAACACGCUGGAGCAACAGCAGCCCGUGAUGCCGGCCGCGCAGCCGUGAAGUCCGUGGAGCGUCCCUAAUCACUGGGGGUUCUGCUUUGCGGUGACAGCGGUGCUACUCACAGCUCCAGAACUCUGCAGCUUCCCCCCUGAAACGGGAACGGGAAGGUGGCGCGGGCGUCCACACCUCGAGCCACAGCCGGCGGGAGGCACAGGCUGGCAAAACUGCCUCUCAGUAGUGAGAAGAGACAAACAAACCGAACGCCAGGAGCAGAGGAAACGAAGACGAUGUGGCCAAGAAAAAUUGCAUUUUUCUUUCCAGUUUUGCUAAAAUAGCCUUCUCAUUGGCUGCGGCUUUGGAGGUGGCAGAAAUCAUACGUUUAAUCACGGCGCCCUCCUGCUUGCCAAGGUUAGCAGGGGCUGUACUGCUGUGCCCUCCUGUCCCUGGAGGCUCUGGUGGCCCCACUCCCCACACUGCCAGGCUGGGUGCCACGCUGCCGUGACCCCGGAAUUCAGCCUGUGGUGAUCGGUCUUCCCUAGCACGGAGCUGAGUUAGGGGCUCUAGAAUCAGUCCCAGCCACGUGAGGCUCUCCCUGGGAUGUGAGGGUCGUCUCGUCUGUUUACACGGGGGCCACAGUGCAGAUCCCAGCCCGGGCAGGGGAGGGGCAAAUCUAUGCCCACUUCAAGCUUCCACUUCUGCCCGCCUCAAAGUGCCGGAGACUCCGGCACCUCUGCGUUCCUCCUUCCCGGUAGGAACAGAAAGCUGGGAAAGGGCUGGGGUGGCAAGGAAGAGCCCCAGGAAGACGGGAGUGGCUCUCCCCACUCCCUAGAGGACCUCCCUCCCCCAAGCCCAUGGGCCGCCUUCUCCAGGGACUCUUCCCUGUCCCACCCACCGGGCAAGGUGGGCCCAGCAGGGUCUCCUUUUCACCGUGCGCCCCCUCCUGUGGCCGGGUCCUGGGCUAAUGACCUCACAUGCUGCUUUUACAAGUCAGGUUUAUUGCGGUAUCACGUACACACAUAAGGCUCACCCGUUUUCGAUGUACAGCCGACGACUUGCUUUGCGUCCUCCAGAAUUGUCCUGUGAGUGACUCCCGCAGGAUGGAGACUUUUGUGUCUGGCUUCCUUCACUUCGCAGCAGGCUUCGCGGGACCCGUGUGGUGGCACCAGCGUCCAGCCCUUGGUACUGCUGAGUUGUAGGUUGUGGGACAGGUGGAGGUACCACAGUUGCUCACGGGUUCACCUGUGGAUGGGCAUGUGGGCUGUUGUGAGUGAAGCCACUUCAGACGUUUGCGUGCAGGUUUGGUGGGGACGUGCAGUUUCAUUUCUUUUGAGAGUGGGAUUGCUGGAGCCUAUGUUAAGGGUACGUUCAACUCAUCAGCUCAACUGUCUUCCAAAUGGCAGCCCCGUUUUCCACCCCCGCCAGCAACGCCCGCGACUCCAGGCGCGCUGCAUUUUCAUCAGCACCUGGCAGUGGUGAUUCAUAAUGCUUUAAAUGUUAAUUUCCCUCAUGACUAGUGAUGUUAAACAUCUUAUUAAACAUCUUAGGUAUUAUUUCAUGUGUUAUUUCAAAUCUUUUACCUACUUUUUAGUGGAUUAUAUUUGUCUUCUUAGUAUUGAGUUCUAAGAGUUAAAUAUUGUGGGUACAAGUCCUCUAUCAGAAAUGUGUUUUGUAAAUACUUUCUUCUAGUCUGUGGUUUGUCUCUUCGUUUUCUUAAGUAUGUCUUUAAAGAGCAGAGGCUUUUGAUUUGGAUAAAGUUCAGCUUGUCAGUUUUUUCUUUUAGGGUUAUGUUUUUGUAUCCUAUCUAAGAAUCUUUGACUAUCAAAUUCUCACAAAGCAGUUUUUUGUUUUCUUCUAGAUGUUUUACGGUUUUAAAUUUUACCUUUAGGUCUACAACCAUUGUGAUUUAGAUUUUGUAUUUAAUGUAAGGUAUAAGUUGAGAUUCAUUUCUCUCUGUUUUUGGAGACUUAUGUCCAGCUAUUCCAGAACCAUUUGUUGGAAAGAGUAUCUUUAUCCCAACAAGUUAUGUGGGCACUUUGUUGAAAAAGAUCUAUUGACCAUAUAUACAUGCGUUUAUUUCCAAGACUCUAUUUUGUUCUGUUGACCGAC